rnacentral:rRNA from 1 species
AUUGAACGCUGGCGGCAUGCUUUACACAUGCAAGUCGAACGGUAACAGGCCUUCGGGUGCUGACGAGUGGCGCACGGGUGAGUAAUGCAUCGGAACGUACCCAGAGGUGGGGGAUAACGCAGCGAAAGCUGUGCUAAUACCGCAUGUGAUCUGAGGAUGAAAGCGGGGGACCGAGCAGCAAUGUUUGGCCUCGCGCCUUUGGAGCGGCCGAUGUCGGAUUAGCUAGUUGGUGGGGUAAAGGCCUACCAACGCGACGAUCCGUAGCUGGUCUGAGAGGACGACCAGCCACACUGGGACUGAGACACGGCCCAGACUCCUACGGGAGGCAGCAGUGGGGAAUUUUGGACAAUGGGCGCAAGCCUGAUCCAGCAAUGCCGCGUGCGGGAAGAAGGCCUUCGGGUUGUAAACCGCUUUUGGCAGGAACGAAACGGUGUCCGCUAAUACCGGGCGCUAAUGACGGUACCUGCAGAAUAAGCACCGGCUAACUACGUG